rnacentral:rRNA from 1 species
UUCCACCCACCAGCCCACACACCACCCCAAACAACUACUUUACCCCAACCAAACCAUUUGCCACUGCUAGUAUAUGCGAUAGAAUACACGCCAUGGCGCAAUAACAACAGUACCGCAAGGAAAAGCUGAAAGAAUAAUGAAAUAAUGUUUAAAGCACAACAAAGCAAAGAUUAACCCUUGUACCUUUUGCAUUAUGAUUUAGCCAGAAAUUAUCAGGCAAAAGGAACUUUAGCCUGCCACCCCGAAACUAAGUGAGCUAUUAUUUGGUAACUGUAAGAGUGAACCCGUCUCUGUGGCAAAAGAGUGGGAAGACCUAAUAAUAGUAGUGAAAAGCCUAACGAACUUAGUGAUAGCUGGUUGCUCAAUAAAUGAAUUUAAGUUCUACUUUAAACGCCACCAAGCUAAUUUACUAUUACUUACGUUUAAAGAUAUUCAAUAAAGGUACAGCUUUAUUGAACCAGGAUACAACCUGAACUAGUGAGCCCGUCAAUACCACCAACCAGUAGGCCUUAAAGCCGCCACCAAUAAAUAUGGCGUCACAGCCUAAAAAUAUAAAUCUCAAUCAAACAAACAAACUCCUACUAAAAAGAGCUACACUAUUAUUAUAGUUGAACUUAUGCUAAAACUAGUAACAUGAAUACCCAUUCUCUUCUCACAUCUUUGCCUCAGUAACAGAAAAUCUACUGACAAUUAACAGAUUUACAGAUUCUACACCCCGACUUCACUGUCAACCCAACACAGGUGUGCAAGAAAGAAAGAUUAAUUGCCGCAGAAGGAACUCAGCAAACCACCGUCCCAACUGUUUACCAAAAACAUAGCCUUUAGCCAAACGAGUAUUAAAGGUCCCGCCUGCCCAGUGAAUCAUUUCAACGGCCGCGGUAUUCUAACCGUGCAAAGGUAGCGUAAUCACUUGUCUUCUAAAUAAAGACCUGUAUGAAUGGCUAAAUGAGGACAGACCUGUCUCCUGCAGCAAAUCAGUGAAACUGAUCUUCCAGUACAAAAGCUGGAAUAUUCCCAUAAGACGAGAAGACCCUGUGGAGCUUAAAAUUUUAAUUAUCUGCAUAUAGUAAAAAUUUUGAGUUGGGGCGACUUCGGAACAAAAUAGAACUUCCGAGCAAGGAGUAACACUCCUAAUAAGGCCUACACGCCGAUCUGGCCGACCCAGUCACACUGAUCAACGAACCAAGUUACCCCAGGGAUAACAGCGCAAUCCCCCUCAAGAGUCCAUAUCGACAGGGGGGUUUACGACCUCGAUGUUGGAUCAGGACACCCCAAUGGUGCAGCCGCUAUUAAAGGUUCGUUUGUUCAACGAUUAAUAGUCCUACGUGAUCUGAGUUCAGACCGGAGCAAUCCAGGUCGGUUUCUAUCUAUGCUGCCACCCUCUUCAGUACGAAAGGACCAAGAAGGAGGGACCUCUACCACACGCACGUCCCACCAAAAUAAUUGAUUUUAACUUAAAUUAAUUUAGCAAUAAACUAGCCGUAAAUAACGGCUA